AUGAUUGGCAAUAGAGCUGAGUGUGAUGAGAGCGAUUCAGCCCAAACAGGGACCUCAGACCCGAUUCAAAGUUUUGGAGUUUCCACCGCCUCAGUGAAGAAUGCACCUAGAAAAGAUUAUGUUUGCUCGAUCUGUGGAAAGAUUUACGCAUACCUGGUUUCUUUCAAAAAACACCAACAGCUGCACGAAAACGAGUCCUCUGCAUCAGCGAAACCUCCAAACGAGUCAAUUUUGCGCCAGUACGAGUGUCCAGAUUGUGGGAUGCUGUUCAUCAGACGAACACGGCUAAUCUCCCACCUGAGAGUUCACAGAGCAUGCAUUUCAUUAAAAUCAGCCCCUCACAGAUGUGAUACUUGUAACAAGGACUUUGCUUCUGUGUGGCUGUGGUUGGCUCACGCUGAGCUACAUAAACAGAAUCCAUUUUGGUGUUUGAGCUGCGCGCACGGCUUUAGAGAUGAGGCGUCACUAGACAAACACCUGCAAAAUCACUAUCGCAGGCACGGGAGCAUCCGCACGUCUGCACAACCCACCGGUCACUUCAGCAACCAUGGUGGAGCUAAGCAGAGCUUCUCCAAUCCCGGAAAGGUAAUUUCACAUCAAAAACAGCAUCGUACCAACUCUGUGAACCUGGGAGGUUUGAUUAAAAGGAGUGCUCUUCUCCCUUGUGUUGAAGAAGAGCCAGAAAUGAAUGCAGACUUAAAAGAACCACCAGACGAGGAGGAAAGCACACAGAAAACAGGUCUACAAAGCCCAUGUGAGAAGAUUGAGGAUCGUGACAGAUCUGACGAGUCAGACUGUGGAGAACCGGUGUUUCACUUUAAGAUUUUGAAACAAGCUAGCUUGGCUGAUCUGUCUGACGAGUCCAAAUCAGGAGACGUACAGUCACAAAGAAGAAACGAGUCGGACGAGACCAAGUCACAGGAAAUAAACGUGCACAGCGACCAUAAGUACUGGGAAUGGGAGUGCUUUGACUGUGAUAUGGGCUUUGAUGAUGUGGCAAAGCUGCACUCACAUUAUAUAAAACAUGCAACUGGGGAGUUGCCUAUACUGUGGGAUAACACAGAGGGAUGA
rnacentral:lncRNA from 1 species